UGUGGUGGAUUCACUAGCCCUGAAAAUGGAUAGCGUUUGAGCUCCAGGCCCAUACCUGACCGUCUCAAUUACGCACUUUUUUUUCGGAAAAGGUGUAAUGAACGUUGAGACGGGUAGGAAGGUCGCGACAGUGUUGCUUUGAAGAGUUUUGAGCGUGAGCUCGCUCGGAGCCGCUGUUGGUGCAGAUCUUGGUGGUAGUAGCAAAUAUUCAAGUGAGAACCUUGAAGGCUGAAGUGGAGCAAGGUUCCAUGUGAACAGCAGUUGGACAUGGGUCAGUCGAUCCUAAGAAAACGGCGAAAGCUUGUUCGAAUUUGCGACAUGAAUUGUAAGACUGAAUAAUUAUUUGUGUGUGUGUGUGGUGGAGGCGAUUGUGUCGUCACCAGUUGUUGUUGUGUGCAGUUGUCGUAUGUUUUCGAAAGGGAAUCCGGUUGAUAUUCCGGAACCGAGUAACGGAGACAAAGAGUAGCGCUUUAAUCUCUCUGUGGGGUUGGCGUUCAACUCAAUCGCGCGGUAACGCAAGCGAACUCGGAAAAUGACCGUCGUGAGUUUCGAAAAGAGUUUUCUUUUCUUUUUAAGGGACGCAUUCCCUGGAACCGGGUUGUCCGGAGAUAGGGAUUCUGGUAUCCAUAAAACGCCGACUUUUUCACGGUGUUCGGAGCGCUCUCGUCGGUACGUGAAAAUCCGAGCGACGCCUGGUAAAUCUCGUACUUGGUCGUACUGAUAUCCGCAGCAGUCUCCAAGUGAAUAGCCUCUGGCGAUAGAAUAUGUAGGUAAGGAAGUCGCAAACGGUCGUACUUCGGAACAGGAUGCUCUAAG
rnacentral:ncRNA from 1 species